CGUAUAUUAAAGUUGUUGCAGUUAAAAAGCUCGUAGUUGGAUUUGUGGUGUAUUGUGGGUUCCGGGCACUUGUUGUCUGAGUAACUUGCGGUUGCCAUCCUUGGGUGGAACCUGUGUGGCAUUAGGUUGUCGUGCAGGGGAUGCCCAUCGUUUACUGUGAAAAAAUUAGAGUGUUCAAAGCAGGCUUAUGCCGUUGAAUAUAUUAGCAUGGAAUAAUGAGAUAGGACUUUUUCGCUAUUUUGUUGGUUUGCGCGAAGAGGUAAUGAUUAAUAGGGACAGUUGGGGG
rnacentral:rRNA from 1 species